rnacentral:rRNA from 1 species
UACGGGGGGGGCAAGCGUUGUUCGGAAUUACUGGGCGUAAAGGGCUCGUAGGUGGCCAACUAAGUCAGACGUGAAAUCCCUCGGCUUAACCGGGGAACUGCGUCUGAUACUGGAUGGCUUGAGUUUGGGAGAGGGACGCGGAAUUCCAGGUGUAGCGGUGAAAUGCGUAGAUAUCAGGAGGAACACCGGUGGCGAAGGCGCCUGACUGGACAAUAACUGACGCUGAGGCACGAAAGCGUGGGGAGCAAACAGG